rnacentral:rRNA from 1 species
CUGGCUCAGGAUGAACGCUGGCGGCGUGCCUAAUACAUGCAAGUCGAACGAGGUAGCAAUACCGAGUGGCGAACGGGUGAGUAACACGUAGGUAACCUGCCCUUAAGCUUGGGAUACCCAGAGGAAACUUUGGCUAAUACCGGAUAACAACAGAGAAGGCAUCUUCUUUGCUUGAAAGGCCCCUUCAAGGGUCACUUAAGGAUGGACCUGCGGCGCAUUAGCUAGUUGGUGAGAUAACAGCCCACCAAGGCGAGGAUGCGUAGCCGAACUGAGAGGUUGAUCGGCCACAUUGGAACUGAGACACGGUCCAAACUCCUACGGGAGGCAGCAGUAAGGAGUUUUCGGCAAUGGGGGAAACCCUGACCGAGCAACGCCGCGUGAGUGAUGACGGCCCUAUGGGUUGUAAAGCUCUGUUGUAAGGGACGAACGAUCGUUUAGGAAAUGAAACGGUUCUGACGGUACCUUACCAGAAAGCCACGGCUAACUACGUGCCAGCCGCCGC